rnacentral:rRNA from 1 species
GCUUAAUACAUGCAAGUCGAGCGGACAGAUGGGAGCUUGCUCCCUGAUGUUAGCGGCGGACGGGUGAGUAACACGUGGGUAACCUGCCUGUAAGACUGGGAUAACUCCGGGAAACCGGGGCUAAUACCGGAUGGUUGUUUGAACCGCAUGGUUCAGACAUAAAAGGUGGCUUCGGCUACCACUUACAGAUGGACCCGCGGCGCAUUAGCUAGUUGGUGAGGUAACGGCUCACCAAGGCGACGAUGCGUAGCCGACCUGAGAGGGUGAUCGGCCACACUGGGACUGAGACACGGCCCAGACUCCUACGGGAGGCAGCAGUAGGGAAUCUUCCGCAAUGGACGAAAGUCUGACGGAGCAACGCCGCGUGAGUGAUGAAGGUUUUCGGAUCGUAAAGCUCUGUUGUUAGGGAAGAACAAGUGCCGUUCAAAUAGGGCGGCACCUUGACGGUACCUAACCAGAAAGCCACGGCUAACUACGUGCCAGCAGCCGCGGUAAUACGUAGGUGGCAAGCGUUGUCCGGAAUUAUUGGGCGUAAAGGGCUCGCAGGCGGUUUCUUAAGUCUGAUGUGAAAGCCCCCGGCUCAACCGGGGAGGGUCAUUGGAAACUGGGGAACUUGAGUGCAGAAGAGGAGAGUGGAAUUCCACGUGUAGCGGUGAAAUGCGUAGAGAUGUGGAGG